UCCGUAGGUGAACCUGCGGAAGGAUCAUUGUCGAGACCCACUGACGAGGACGACCGUGAAUGCGUCAACGAUUGCUCGUCGGGCUCGUCCCGACAUCACCCCGAAUGUCGGUCCGCUCUUGGGUGGGACACGACCGAGGGGAUGAACUACCAACCCCGGCGCGGAUAGCGCCAAGGAACACGAACAUCGGAGUCGGAGGGCCUCGCUGCAUCCAGGAGGCUACAAUUCCGACGGUGACCCCAUUGGACGACUCUCGGCAACGGAUAUCUCGGCUCUCGCAUCGAUGAAGAACGUAGCGAAAUGCGAUACCUGGUGUGAAUUGCAGAAUCCCGUGAACCAUCGAGUCUUUGAACGCAAGUUGCGCCCGAGGCCAUCCGGCUAAGGGCACGCCUGCCUGGGCGUCACGCUUUCGACGCUUCGUCGUUGCACCCUCGGGGGUGUGGGCGAACGCGGAGGAUGGCCCCCCGUGCCGGAAGGUGCGGUCGGCCGAAGAGCGGGCCGUCGGUGGUUGUCGAACACGACGCGUGGUGGAUGCCUUGUGCGAGCCGUACGUCGUGCCUUCGGGACCCGGGCGAGGCCUCGAGGACCCAAGUCGUGGUGCGAGUCGAUGCCACGGACCGCGACCCCAGGUCAGGUGGGGCUACCCGCUGAGUUUAAGCAUAUCAAUAAGCGGAGGA
rnacentral:rRNA from 1 species